UAAUACGUAGGGUGCGAGCGUUAAUCGGAAUUACUGGGCGUAAAGGGUGCGCAGGCGGUUUUGUAAGUCAGAUGUGAAAUCCCCGGGCUUAACCUGGGAAUUGCGUUUGAAACUACAAGACUAGAGUGUGGCAGAGGGAGGUGGAAUUCCAUGUGUAGCAGUGAAAUGCGUAGAGAUAUGGAAGAACAUCGAUGGCGAAGGCAGCCUCCUGGGUUAACACUGACGCUCAUGCACGAAAGCGUGGGGAGCAAACAGGAUUAGAUACCCUGGUAGUCCACGCCCUAAACGAUGUCAACUAGUUGUCGGGCCUUACUAGGCUUGGUAACGAAGCUAACGCGUGAAGUUGACCGCCUGGGGAGUACGGUCGCAAGAUUAAAACUCAAAGGAAUUGACGG
rnacentral:rRNA from 1 species